UUAUGGUUUAAAAAAAUUUAUUUUAAGUUUAUUUUACAUAUAAAUUUUAGUGUUAAUUAUUAAUUAUUUAAAUAAUGUUUAAUAUUUAGGUAGUAAUUAGUAUUAAAAAUUUAAGAAAUUAAGAUUUAGUAAUAUGAAUUAAUUAAUAACUAAUUUUGUGCCAGCAGUUGCGGUUAAACAAAAGUUAAUUUUAAAUUUUUUUAGUGAUUAAUAAAUACAAAUAAAAAAAAAUAAUUUAAAUUUAAAAUUAUAAGGUGAAAUUUAAAUUUUAUAAAAAAUUAUAAAAUUAUUAUGAUUUAAUAAAUUUUAUAAAAAACUAGGAUUAGAUACCCUAUUAUUAAAAAUUUAAAUUAAUAAUACUUAAAAAGUAGGUAAUUAAAUAUUGAAACUUAAAUAAUUUGGCGGUAUUUUAGUUUAUUUAGAGGAAUCUGUUUAAUAAUUGAUAAUCCACGAUUAAAUUUACUUAAUUUAUUAUUUUGUAUAUCGUUGUUAAAAAAAUAUUUUUUAAUAAAAAUAAUAUUUAAAGUUUUAAAAUAAAAGUUAAAUCAGAUCAAGAUGCAGAUUAUAAUUAAGAAUAUAAUGGAUUACAAUAAAUUUAUUUAAUUUGGAAUUUAAAAUGGAAAUAUUUAAAUGAAAAUGGAUUUAAAUGUAAUUUUAUUUAAAUAAAUAAAAUGAUUAAAUAUUAAAAUAUGUACAUAUUGCCCGUCGCUUUCAUUUAUAAAUUGAAAUAAGUCGUAACAAAGUAGAAGUACUGGAAAGUGUUUCUAGAAAGA
rnacentral:ncRNA from 1 species